GGGCAAGCAUUCGUGUAGUGUCCAAGCUGACCACACUUGAAGUAGGUAUUUCUAGUGGGGGUGGGGUUGGCAUUGGGCUUUGCUGGGACAGUGUUGGAGUUCUGGCGAGAGCCUGAUGGUGCUGGGGCAUUCUGACGAGGCGCUGUUGACACCAGAAGUGGCAAACGGUUAUACCGCAAGCGUACGGUAGUCAAUGUAGCCUUCACCGGGAGUAUUCCAGGUAUCGUGAUCUCCACGGGGAACGCGAAGUGAAUUAACUAGGCUUUAGAUCGUUAGGUGAUGAUCAAAGGGUCUAGGAUAAUGGGGUAGAGAGGUCUAACUAGUAUUAAUGCCUGGUCU
rnacentral:lncRNA from 1 species